rnacentral:misc_RNA from 1 species
GAGAGAGAGAGAGAGAGAGAAGUUAGAUAAAGUUGCACAGUGUACACUGCUGGUUCGAGUUGUUAGUAACCAGGAAUAUUUAUAAGCCCCGUGCUUAUUUUUGAGUCAAAUGGCAGCUGGAUUAUGAGUGUGCACUGCACCUUGAAUUUGUGAAUUGUUAAGUAAUCGAGCACUUUCGUAAUCAAUGUCGGCAAUUGACAAUUUAGGGAAGAGUUUAAAAAAAAGUUGUUUAGAAAAAAAAAAAUCUUAAAAAAAAUGAGUAUAAAAAUAAGGAGGGAAUUGAAAUUGAGAAUUCUUGUAUUUUUUAAUUCAGUAUAAUUGGUUUAUUCUCUUAAAUGUUUUUUGAGCCUUAUUGAGCUAUAUGAUUUUCAUGAGCAUACUAUCUCAUUAGUAUAAGUAGAUUGAUGGAAUUACAUGUUUGGUUGGAGUUGAGUGUUGUUAAAUUUUAAAUUAAGCAAAAUAGUUAUUGAAUGUAUGGCAUUGUAUUUGAGCAUAAGCAGGUUAGGAAUGAUUAGUCUAUAGAUUUAAUCUUCAAUGUUUUGAUUGAGAUAAUUAAAUUAUAGUAUUUGAGUAGAAUUAUUUUUUUUUGAGUUAAUUUUAUUAUUUUCUUAAAUUGAAAAUUUGCUAUUGCCGUUGAAAUAAAAUUAAAGUUCAAACAUUUUUAUUAACAAAUUAAAGUUAAGAGAAGAAAGUGAAAUAAAGGGUAAAGCUGAGUUUUUAAUGGAAUUUUGUAG